rnacentral:lncRNA from 10 species
UGUUGAUAACGAUGUUAUAUUCCUAAGAUGAGAAUUCAGUGAGAAGAUGCCUAUCUGAGAACCAGGAAGCAGGUCGGCAACAGACACGUAAUCAACUGGUGCCCUGAUCUUGGACUUCUCAGCCUUCAAAACUUUGAGAAUUAAAUUUCUGUUGUUUACAAGCCACCCAGUCCAUGGUAUUUUGUUAUAGCAGCCUGAACAGAUCAUGAUCGUGCUUAAUUACUUGGUGUGAACCACAACCACCACAGGAAAAGAAAAACUCAGACUCAGGAGGAGAGACGGCAGCAAAACUCCAUUAAAAAAUUUUUUUUUAUUAUUAUUUGAGACAGAGUCUCGCUCUGUCACCCAGGCUGGAGUGCAGUGGCGUGAUCUUGGCUCACUGCAACCUCCGACUCCCAGGUUCAAGCAAUUCUUCUGCCUCAGCCUCCCGAGUAGCUGGGACUACAGGUGUGCACCACCACACCUGACUAAUUUUUGUAUUUUUUUUUUUUAGUAGAAAUGGGGUUUCACCAUAUUGGCCAGUCUGAUCUUGAACUCCUGACCUUGUGAUCUACCUGCCUAGGCCUCCCAAAGUGCUGGGAUUACAGGUGUGAGCCACUGUGCCAGGCCACAUAGCUCCAUUUAACACUCCUGAAGCUAAAGUGACACCACCAAGAAGCAACUCAGAAAAACUAACCUAUUUUCUGCUGGUAACUUAUAUAAGUGUCAAACUAUAAAUUUGAUCAGCAACAACAAAAAUCUACCCCGUUAUCUUUAUGCUUUCUAUAAAGUUCUUUUCUAUAUAGGGAUUUAUUAAUUUUGUCACUAGGUGGUUUAAUGAUCAUAGAAAUUACUGAAAUGUAUGUGUCUGAUCUGAGCCUCAAAGUUGAGGUAAUUUUGUAUCAGACCAAAAAAAAUGGCUGACCAAAAUUUCUUUUUAAUUUGUAAUAACUUUGAAGUGUCUGAAGAAAAAAAAAUUCAAGAAUACAAA